rnacentral:rRNA from 1 species
GAUGAACGCUGGCGGCGUGCCUAAUACAUGCAAGUCGAGCGAACAGACGAGGAGCUUGCUCCUCUGACGUUAGCGGCGGACGGGUGAGUAACACGUGGAUAACCUACCUAUAAGACUGGGAUAACUUCGGGAAACCGGAGCUAAUACCGGAUAAUAUAUUGAACCGCAUGGUUCAAUAGUGAAAGACGGUUUUGCUGUCACUUAUAGAUGGAUCCGCGCCGCAUUAGCUAGUUGGUAAGGUAACGGCUUACCAAGGCAACGAUGCGUAGCCGACCUGAGAGGGUGAUCGGCCACACUGGAACUGAGACACGGUCAAGACUCCUACGGGAGGCAGCAGUAGGGAAUCUUCCGCAAUAGGCGAAAGCCUGACGGAGCAACGCCGCGUGAGUGAUGAAGGUCUUCGGAUCGUAAAACUCUGUUAUUAGGGAAGAACAAAUGUGUAAGUAACUAUGCACGUCUUGACGGUACCUAAUCAGAAAGCCACGGCUAACUACGUG